ensembl:snRNA U6 U6 spliceosomal RNA
GUAGCUCACUUUGGCAACACAUAUACUAAAAUUGGAACAAUACAGAGAUUAGCAUGGCCCUUGUGUGAGAAUGACACACAAAUUUGUGAAGCAUUCCAUAAAAGA